CGAUUCUCAAAAUGGGCUCUUAUUUCAUCAUGUACAUCAUUUUAUAAAGGAAACUAAGAAAUAAUUUUGGUAAUUUUUAUACAAUUUUAUUGUUUAGUUUUCUGCAUUUUAAUGAUAUACCUCAAGAUAGAAUGGACCACAGCGAAAAAAUAAACAGACAUGGGAGGUGGCGUCUGUAACGGAUCAAUGGCAAAUGUAUCUAAUUUUCUCGUAUUUUUUAUCAUUGCCUUUUUCUUUACGAUUCUUUUAUGUUCAUUUUUUCUUUUCUUGAGAUGAUAAGUGAGUGUUCACAUAUAUCACGUAACGGCAGUAUUUUUAAAUAACAUAUAGUCUGCUUUUUCAGGGGAGGGCCCCCGAUAAUGUUGUUAUGACUUCUGGCCCAACUCUUUUGUGUAUUAACAUUGAUGUAUUUAUGUAUGCUUGUUGUGUGUGUGUGUGAAUAGAACAUGUAUAUAUAAAAUUUGAUAAAACUAACGACUUAGGAGACGACCUGGUCAAAACUUUUGCGAGCCUCACGAAACUUCAGUUCAAUCAGCGAGGGCUAUACGCGACACACGGAAGUCUGUGUACAUAGCAAUGGAGAAAGUGAUUAGAUUAAGUGUCAUUUCUUUAAAUAUCAUCGGUAAAUUAUAAUAGGACGUUUUGGAACAGCAUGAUAACUUUUGACUGUCGCUGUCCCGAUGAUAGAGGGAUGACAACUAGCUCUAUAAAAUAACAGAUCAUAAAAUAGUAAAGUCAUUUAAGUAAGGCUAGGUUAUUUGGUGGCUAUAUAUGUAAAUUAAGAAUUUCAAAUAGGCGAAUUAAUGGUCAUAUCACGGCGGCUAAUGUCCAGCAAUGUACCUGUGUUGCAUGGCAACCAUAAAAUAUCAGAUCCGAGAAGCAGGCGGCUCGUACGUGAACGCAGGGGGAGCCUCAUAUAUGCCUUAAAUGUUUUGCAAGGUCGCCCGGCCAGUACCUAACAGAUUUGAAAACUGCCCGCCCGGCAUGUCCUAGCAGGAAAGCCGUAUUUAAUGGUAUUACAUAAAGUCUGAGACGGACAUAGUCCAACGUACAGCCAAAGUAACGGCCUUGCAGAAAAAUUUGUUUCUAUUUGCAAAAUUCUGCUUACUAAGUCCACACAGGCUGGUACGGAUCCCUACAUAGCACUUCUUGAGUACAGGAAUACCCCUUUAGCUUGUGGUAAGACACCUGCACAGUUGCUUAUGUCUAGACAGCUUUUGUUGGUAUAAAGAGAUGAACAACAAAUAUGUUAUUAAUACAUGUUUAUUACAUAAAGUCUUAACUAUCUGGUCACGAACAAGGUCUUCGUUCAUUUCGACCGGAUAGCCACAGUCCCUAAGUAUAUUUAUAUUGCCAUGUGACCUUCAUACUAUUUUAAUCAAUCAUGUCAACUAAAUAUAGAUCAACGCGUUGUGAGCUAAAUAUAGAUUUUAGCCUAACAUGAUGAAAUAUGGUGAAAUACUAUACAUGUAAAAUCUAGGUGAAACAAACUAUCAAUGAUGGAAUAAUUAAGUGACAAUAGAUACACUGAUUCCUAGCAACAAGUGUUGCUAGGAAAAACUGCUUUAGACAAUGAAAAUAGUAACAUUUCAAAGUGUGCUGGUGCUAGGCAUUAACUUAGCAACAAGAAAUGACAAAUAUGACAAGGGACAAGGGAAACAUUUGGAAUAAUAAUUCAAGUUCCAGAUAAUGCAGAUCUUGUUAUGGGGGAUUUGAUUUUGGUAGGUUAGCGGAUUCAUAGGAACUACAAAUCUUUCCUUGCCAUCAAUAUGACCUGCACCCCAGAUCUUCGGAGUCUGGGGCAAGAAUCAUCUUCACCACGGCGGCAGAAUAUCCCCUGUCCCCGCCCCUGCAGGCCCGUCUGGAGUUUCUGGGUGUGGCUAGGAGUGGGGACAUCAACAUUUUCAUGGAAAUAUCAAAUCUUUCUGGACUCUCUUUCCACUGGACUAAGUACCAAGACUGCACUGAAAAUCAAUUUUCUGAAAUAGACUAUACAAAUCAAACUGUAAGUGAAACAAAAUCAACAGGAAGUGAGUAUCUGAAAGACAAUAAAUUGUACACAAACUCUUGUCCUACUCCGCCUCUCAGUGCAUCACAUUUAUCUAAAGAACCUACUGGAAAAGUUUUAGACAGAUCAGCUGCUGGAAAUAUCUGCCAAGUUUCAUACAGUUUCAACACAAACACAUUGAAGGUUUACGACUGCCUUCACAAAUUCAAAAUUCCGUAUGAAACUGAAAUAUACAAACCAAAAGAAGAACGUCUCAACGUGGAUUCAAAUAUAUUUUACUGCAAGAAUUUAUUUCUCAAGGACAGGAAAGGGACAGUUUUAUCUGGUAAUAUGUCACUGAAGAUUUCAACAUGGACCUUAAGCAACUACGGAAAUCUGUGAAUGCAAACAGAAAUUUCAACUUUGGAACAGCAGACGACAUGAAGCAACUUCUUGGAACUGAACCAGGGGGAGUAACUCCAUUAGCUCUGAUUAAUCCAAAUGCAGCAGAUGUAAAAAUGGUCAUCCAUAAAAGUCUUGUGAAAGAAGAUGCUUCACUUAUGUUUCAUCCGCUAGACUUGAAGCUGGCAACCAAAAUAACAUUACCUAGUUUACUAAGAUACUUAAAAUCCUGUAAUCACUCGCCCAUCUUUGUCAAGUGAAAAAGUUAAAUGCACAGUUUUCAAUUUGGUUGAUGUUAAUUAAAUUCGACUCUUUCAGUAAAUAAAGUGGAGAUACAAGAAG
rnacentral:misc_RNA from 1 species